UACGUAGGGGGCUAGCGUUGUCCGGAAUCAUUGGGCGUAAAGCGCGUGUAGGCGGCCCGGUAAGUCCGCUGUGAAAGUCGGGGGCUCAACCCUCGGAUGCCGGUGGAUACUGUCGGGCUAGAGUACGGAAGAGGCGAGUGGAAUUCCUGGUGUAGCGGUGAAAUGCGCAGAUAUCAGGAGGAACACCGGCGGCGAAGGCGGCACUCUGGGCCGGUACUGACGCUGAGGAGCGAAAGCGUGGGUAGCAAACAGG
rnacentral:rRNA from 1 species